ACUUCCUCUUUCUGUUCUGACAUCAUCAAUCCACUUUGUAGUUUGCUGGAAUGAGUUAACAUUUGUGAUAUCGUAAACUACUACAGCUGCAGCAGAAUCACGGAUGUACCUGGGAAUGAGGCUACGGAGACGUUCCUGACCCGCCGUAUCCCACAGCCGAAGCCCGAUUGUUCCAUCCUCCAAGAACACCAGCUUGAAUUUCCUCAGCGGAUUCCCGAAGUCUCCGCCCGCGGACAUGGUGGAACUAGAGGAGCUGUCGCCGCCUCAGCCCAGAGACCUCCCGGACCGAUGCUCCUCCAGCCGGCUGACGAAAAAGGAAAUAGCAAUGUUUUUUGAGUAUGGCAAGUGUUUCCAAGCAUUCAGAAGUGGAGAGUGUAGGAUAUCCACUGCAAAAUGAGGUCUGCUUGUCAUCCUCUUAGUCUCCACUGCUAUCCCUCCCUCAUCUCUCUCUGUUUCAUUGAGACCAAAAGACUAGGAGCCUGGCUUCUAGUUUUCAAAAGAGCUAAGUGACUGACCUAGGCUGAUGACUCGCAAUCCUCGUUUUACAGUUGAACCACCUGAGGAGCUUUUUCAAAAUACACAUGUCUGGUUUCCAGACCCAGAGAUUCUGAUUGGAUGAGAAAACUGAUUUGGAGAGAUACUGAGUGAUUUGCCCAGGUCACAGCUGGCAUAAAGGCAACACAAGUGGUCAGGCUCAGCUACUCUGGUUCCUACAGACUUUCCCCUUUGGGAUAGCGUCUCUCACCAUCUUGACUGCUUACCAACAGAAGCGCCAAAACCAAACUUGAGGAUGUCCACAAGCUUGCUCUACACUUCUACAUUCAUCCUCAUCUUUUUUGUGUGUGUUUGUGGGGUAGGGGAGGUGCAGUGUUUACUCAGUGAUCUUUCUACUUUCUAGAAAGUGUCUGUCCUUCAAAACUAUUUAAGAGCCUCUCAUUAGUCAUUUUUUCUCUUAUAUGCUCUGGUUGAGCUUGAAUAGACCAGUUGUUGCUUAAGAAAGAAACUGAAAAGAUUUUAGCUUUUCAGUCCUAUUUGGCAGAGGACUUCAGCUACCUUCUUAUGGUCUUUGGCUGUGUUGGUGCCCUCAUGUGCUCUGGGCUAAGCCACAUACUAAAUUGACUUUUUGGUUUGUAUACCCUUGCUCUCGCCUUCUGAUGAAAACACCUUACCCUCACCACCACCAUCUUUGCUCUCCUUUCCCAAAACUCUUUCCGCCUUGCUGCACUAAGAUAGUGACACCUCCACCACACGUCAAUUCCACACACAUUUAUUAGGUACCUGUGAAGCAGGAUCUUAUCCUCUUAAACUUCCACUUCUCACACUAGAGAGAAAGAUAAGGAAGAUGAGCAAGUGCCUGGAAUGGGGCAGGCUGAGUGGUCACACAGGCACAGAGGCACACUGAGAACCUACAGGGGAGACUGCAGAGUGCCUUCCCUGAUGCUGCAGCUGGAAGUCAUCCUUCCCUCCACCUGGCCCCUGAGACACUCUACUCUGUAGUGUGCAGUCUGAUGGCACUGCUAGAUUUCUUUUUCAGCUCAGGGCCACAGCUUAAACAGCUUUACCUUUCCCCUCAGCACCUGUCCCACUACCUUGCACACAGGUACUCUAUCCGUGUUUAUUGAACAAAGGAGGGAAACUGAUUUCACUUUCACUUGUUCAUUAUCAUUCCAAUUUUUAUGUGAAAAUGGCACAACCCAUUUGGGGUACACUCAUCUCAAAAGAAAAGCCCAAGACUACCUCUGACUGGUACCACCUUUUUUGUGGGUUCCUUGGUGAGAAACCUUUAUCUUUUUCAUACUUUUCUAUUCUCCAUCACUUCUCCAAAAGUGUCUCUUUCCAGCUCUGAUUUAUUCAAAACACACAAACAUUCCUGUUUAGAGAUUCUAGCCCAUGGAUUAUCCGGCUAGUUAGUACCUCUCCUGUUCACUUGGUUAUACUUUAUUAUUGCUCAGAGGUUGGGGAGGCAGAAUGACUGUGUCCCCUCACCCUGGCAGAAUGACUGUGUCACCACUAGGAGCCAUUAGGGCUUCUUCCCAGGAGGACUGCCUGCUUGCUUUCUGGGGACUAGCCCUUAUUUCCCUUCUGUGGUCCAGUGGGGCAAGUGAUUUGUAUUAGACAAAUAUUUAUAAGAAACAACCCCCUCCCCAAAAUAGAGCCACCAAGUAAAGCACAAGCCUGAAAGAUGAUGAACUAUGAAUUGUCUCUAGUGGAUAUAAAUUUCUGCAAAUAUAUCUCAGUCUUUCUCUCUUUUCUCUGGUGAUUAAAAAGUUGGUUUUUGGUAAGGAAAAGGAUUUUUGACCAUAGAGUUAUGCAUCAUGGAAAUUCAAACCCGAUUUCUUAAUACCUGGUCUUCUCCGAAGAGAAAUAAUGAUAGUAAUAGUGGUGCUGGGAACAAUAUGGAAGAUUAUUGAAUGAAAUGGAUUAACUUGAAUAAAAUGCUGUGAAUUAUCUCUA
ensembl:lncRNA RAB6C-AS1 RAB6C antisense RNA 1